rnacentral:lncRNA from 1 species
CCCCCCAUUUCUCCCCCUCCUCCAAGGUGCAGCCCUCCCGUGUGGUUCUCCGUCGUGUGGCUGCGAUCUCAAUUGGAGUUUGGAGGGAGGAAGAAGGAAGGAGGAAGGGAAGAACCUAAGGUGAAUUUGUGAUUAACUUUUGUUGUUUUUGUGCUGCAAUCAAUUGGAUUAUGUGUUUAUCUUUGCGAAUCGGUAGAGGUGCUGUCCAGGAAUUUUGUGAGUGGGUGAACAGCAGUAGUUCUAGGGAUUUCUGGGAAUUUUCGUGGGGUAAUUAGUGGGAAUCAGUGGGAUAAUCAUGUAGAGCUUUGUCAUACCUUUCCAACGAGUACUUAUGCGCUCGAUUCGGAGUUAUAAUUUAGGAGAUAUCGUUGUUUGAAUCCGGGUAUAUUGCUGUCCAAAAAAACAGAUUUUUCAGGUGGGUGAACAGCAGUAGUAUUAGCAGUUUCUGGGAAUUUUUCGUGGGUAAUUAGUAUUAACCAGUAUUAUAAUCAUGUAGGGCUUUGUCUUAUCUUUCCAAUGAGUACUUAUGUGCUUGAUUUGGAAUUAUAUUUUAAAAGAUAUCGCUGUUUGAAUCCGGGUAUGUUGCUGUAAAAAAAACAGAUUUUUCAGGUGGGUGAACAGCAGUAGUAUUAGCAAUUUCUGGGAAUUUUUCGUGGUUAAUUAGUGCUAACCAGUAUGAUAAUCAUGUAUGGCUUUGUCUUAUCUUUCCAAUGAGUACUUAUGCGCUUGAAUUGGAAUUAUAUUUUAAAAGUUAUCGCUGUUUGAAUCCGGGUAUGUCGCUGUCCAAAAGAGAAAAAAACAGAUUACAGGGUUCAUCUUGUGAACUGUUUUGGGCUAAUUAGAUGUUGGAGUUUAAUUAUAAAUUGUAUACAAAACUUGUGGGGAAUUUUAUGUAGAUGCCUCUGGAGUUUUUGUUUGUUACCAAUGCUGUCAUAAUUUUGAAGUUAUGAAAUUAUUAAGCAGCGCCGCUGCAGUUUGGUGGGUGUGGGGAGAGAUGUAACCCGCGGCGGGGUUUGAGUUUGUGCGUAGGUGCGGCGUCGUUUAUGAGCCUGGUUAUGUGAAAUUGGUGCACUAAGUUGUGUGUCAAAAACAGGUGGUGGACUUCCGGAUCGUACUUAGGGAUUUGCCCAAACUUCCGGUAAAGGCAAGUAAAUACAGUGGUGGUUGCUACCGUUUGGUUUGCAUCCUAUUCCCUGUCAUUGAGUAUGCAUAAGUUUUAAAUAUGUUAAUCAUUGAAUUCUAUGAUGAAGUUUAUUUGUUCGAAAGUAUUAAUUCUCAAUUGUCUAAUAUUGUGGAUGAUCAUGAUUUGGUAAUGAUAUAUGUGGUUGAUUCCUAUCAUGGAUGGAGUUGAAGUAUUUUUAUUUGAAUCACGUUAUAUGAAGUGUUGUAGGCAUGUCAUGCACAUUGCAUCAUCCAUCUUGCAUUCUGAAGUUAUGUCGUGAUCUUAUGGUCCGACUGUACCGGUACAUUUUUAGCAUCGUACGUUGUCCGAGGAGGGGUACGAUGCGGCUUCAUAUCCUUAGAGGUAUGAAGGCAGAAGUCAUCCUUGCAUUUGCAGACAUUUGCACUCAUGAGGUAUAUAUAUGAAGAGUGACAUUACUAUGUUACUAUUGUGGUUUCUACCUGCGAGGUGUGGUAGCUAGGAGUGUUGUACGUUGUAUACGUGCUGCACCUUUGUAAUAAGAAGGUUGUGAAAUCAAGUGGUGGUAAAACAAUAUUCUUAUGUGGUUAAACAGUUUGAUAUUAUUUUACUUGCUGAGAUGUGUCAUCUCACUCUUGCAUUACUCAAUGCAGGUACUUGAUAUAUGUUGGGAAUGAGGGGAGUAGCAGCACGUCCACUUUCACUCUCAUAAUAGCGCUGCCCAGGCGUAGCCAUGAUUUAAUUAGAAACUUGUUGUCAAAAGAAGUUAUUUUUUUUUGCUAGUCGUGCGCACUGGUUAAUUCAGUUCAUGUCGUAUGUUUAACUUCCCUUUGCUAGCCGAUUAAUAAUACUUGGUAUGUUUUUGUCAUGAUAUAUGUUUAUACAUUGUUGUCCCCCCCCCUCAUUUAUGCAAUUUUGCAAAGGAGAUGCUGCCAAAAUUUUAUAUAGAUGUCAGAAGUGUAGUUCAGUAGCAUUCCGGGGUGUUUGUGGAUCCCGGGGUGUUACAGUUGGUAUCAGAGGAUAGGCUUUAGAUUCUACGCAAUUUGAAGAUAAAUUUGACACACUUGCACAUAUAGGAAGGGUAUGGGUUCGUAAAUCUUUCAUAUUAGUAUUUUAUUGUAUAGAUGACUAGAACUUCCUUACUCCAAAUUCCUUUAUGGUUUGAUGGGGUACGUCAUUAAUGACGUAAUGCUUGAUAUGAUAUGUUAUUUCUAUUUAAUAUUGGUUUCUUGAUGUGGUUGUUAUUGAAGAUAUUAUGCAAGUGAAGCUACUACUGUACUUGUUUUAUAUACAUAUUGUCAUGAUGUUUUUUUUGAUGCAAUGUUUUCAAAUCUCUGAGCUAUUACUAUCAUAUAUUUCUAUAUGCUUGACUGUGGAUGUUUUUUUCCAAAAGGAUUCUUGGGUUCUAGUACUUGUAGGACCGAUUGUUUAUUGAGCUUGUCUAUAGUGGGUCUAAUCCGACUUGGUGUAGUGUGAAAACACUAUAUAAUGUAGUUUUAUGGUGUUGUUGAGUUUGAUUGACUGUUGGGUUACAACCCAACUUAUCAAUGUAAUAUUUCCAUGGGUGCAAUGCUUUGCGCCUCACUUUUUUGGCUAGUGUGGCUACUUGCUAACUUGAUCUUAGUAUAAAAUUGGUUUGUCUCUAUAGAGCAAAGGCAACAUUGUAAUGUCUAUGAAAUCUUGAGACUGGUAGAACUCAAGUGAAUUUGUAAGAUGACGUAGAUUGAUAAGUCCAACCAUGUUUACCUGAUAGGUUUUCUUAUUAUGUGCAACCUUAUUUUUUUUAACAAUAAAUAGGGUGGUUUCAAGUGGAUUUUAUGUCGUGCAUGUUUUCCUUCUAUGGUUUGUUUCAAUAGCCAUAAAGGCUAUGCAUAAUUUUUAGUUGUUGCAGGCUAGUCAUGUGGACGAUAUUGACAACCCAUUUUAUUUUUUUUUAUUUGCCAACAUUGUAUGGUAGUUUGAUUUUUUUUAUGAUCAGUUUCUCUAUGCAUGCUUGUUGAAUCAUUAUUUGGACCGCUUUAUCUUAAACGAAGUCAAUGCUUAACUGGGAGUUGCUUAUGUUUGUUAGUCAUCUAUCUCUUUAAUGAUGGGGUUGUUGCAUCGGAUUGAGAUUUUUCUUAUAUGAAUGAUGGUUUGAUAGAUCAUGUAUGUCUACUACUUUGAAUGCAUCCUGUGAUAUCACGAGGUACAAAUUGUUCAAGUGCAGUAAUAGUAGGUUUUGUUGUAUGUGAGGUUAAUCAAGGUAGUUUGGUUAUGUGGAUUGUCUUAUUGACAUCCAAUUACUCCUGAUGAGCAUAGUAUCGUGUUGCUAUUUUAGUAUUGAAAGUAAUAUUUAUGAAGCUUUUGCAUGAGUCUGUGUCAAGAAGUACAUUAGUUUUUCUUGUUGUUAUCCCUCCAUUGCUUUAUGAGUAUUGCAAAUUUUAUCUCUUUUGAGAGGAGGAAAAGACGUUACAUGACAUGAGCACCAUUUGCUUCACGUCAACAGAAUAGUUGUGGAGAGCUCUAAUAGUUGGAUUCUAGUGUAAUAACAACCAUGUCUUAUAGUGCUAGAGACGGGUAUGUCAGGUGUUUCAUACAUUGUCGAUACAUGGAUGUUUGACCUUAGUGGCAUUAACAAACGAGGUUGUUUAAUUCGUUGAUUGUUGUGCUUAGUGUUCUAACCUAUUAGGUAAAGUGUUGCUUAAAGGCUUUGGGGAGUUGCAUCCCCAUUUGGUAGUGGAAAAUCCUAGUGUUGAUCGCACCUUCCAAUGCCUUGGGUUUUAUUUUAUAUUGUUUUUUUAUUAUGAGUAAGGUGUUGUUUGGUUUUGGGAGUCAUUUUAAAUUAGUUGGAGGCUGAAUCAGGCUUCACUUAUCUAGAAUGUUUUGUAGUAGGCUUCUUCAUCUUUGCAUAGAUGCUCAAUCACCCAGUUUGGUCUAAACAUUGGAGAGUUAUGGGUUUCCUAUAGCAGCCUUAAUUUUGUACGGAAGUAGAGACAUUGAAGACGGUAAAUUUUGGUUUUUGUUGGAUUAUGAAAGUUUUAGUAAUUUCAUGAUCUUUCCAAAGAUUAUUGGUUUGUAAUUUUCAUUGCAUAUAAUUGGAGUUAGGCUACUCUGAAGUUGUUUCACCGUUGUGUCUGAACUUUAGGUGUCGUUAAAACCACCAAUAAAUCGACCGUGUUCUGAUAGUUUCAGAGCCCAAAUUUGGGAAUUCUCUUUAAGAAAAACUUUUAGUUUUUCUAAGUACCUUUUAAUGGGUAUUUACUUGUAACUGCCUAUUAAAUAGAUUGGGAGAGGUGGUUGUCCGGAUAUAAGUCGAAUCUCUGAUGUGCAGUAUCUCAGGUUGAGUUUAGCUGUAGGUCAUGCAGAGUUGAGGGUUAUAAAGAUAAAUUUGGGUGCAACUUUAUUGCAAAAGUCGUGGACAAUUUCCAAACUUUUCCAACGCAUGUUCGUUGUAGUUUUAAGUUGAGUAUAGCAGGAGUUAUAGGAUUUUGAAUUUUAGUUGUCCAAUAUUUCUAUCCUAUCAGUUUUGCAACAAAGCAGUUGCAUUGUUUUAUCGGUUUGGAAACCAAUUCUGAGACACUCAUUAUAAUAAAAGUUUUAGGGAAUGUUAUAACCUUUCCAAUGAGUUUGUAUUUGCAAAAUUUUGUUAGAUGCAGAUUGGGUGAGUUAUUGGAUGGAUAUAUAUGCAUAGUAUAAUUAAAAAAAGUGUUCUUCGAUGGAAUGAUAUAAUGUAUAGAAUAUGCUUGGAUGGAUAUAUGGGCAGGCGUAGUAUGCUUAAAUCGAUUCUUGCUUCCAUGAUGUGAGAUAAGGCUUAAAAUGAUUUAAAAUGUUAGCAUAUGGCUUCUAUCUUUAUGUUGGCUCUGAGUGUCUCGUAAUGAAGAACCUAAAGUUAUUAGUCCUUCGAUGAACGCUUAAUCUUAGAAGAGUAUAGAACCUGAAUAAAUCUAUUGCUUGCUGUUUGGGACUACAUGACCAAUUUUGGUUAUGCAGCUAGUUCAACGAAUUAAACCAUGUUUUCUGUAGAGGUGUUGUAUAUAAAAGUUGUAGCCAACUUCUUCAUCUUACUUGUGUAAAAUUUCAUGACCAUAGGUCUAGUAGUUUGGGAGUUAUGAUUUUCUCAAGUCCAGUCUUGGAAUCUGUCCAGAUUCUGUACAGAUUUUGAAACAGACCUUGUUUGCCCAAGUUAAACUUUGAAUCAGUUCUUAUAAAUUAUAAAGAAGUGGAGUACUUUCCUUAAGAUUUCCAACAAAUAUUGGAUCACCCUUUUUGGUGACCUAUAAGUUAAGCUACAGCUGUUUUAAGUGGAAUCUUUGAAUCUGUCCAAAUUUGGACAGCAAAGCCUUUCUUAUGUCUUUUGACCUUGAUAUGCAUUGAAUUAACCUGAUAUGUUUAUAAAUGAAAUAUAGACAAUUUUACUGGCUUUCAAAAAAAGUCUAGGAGCGCCUAAAUUGGAUGACUGAGACUCCAAUUAUGGAUUUUUUAAGUGAGUAGUUGAAUUCUGUCCAAGUCUGGACAAAAUUUACGUUUCGCAUUGUUUGUCCUUUCUAAGUGUCAAAUCUUGUGGUGAUGAUAAUACCAAGGGUAUAGUGGACUUUGUAAGCUUUCCAUAAAGUCCUAGUUUACUACUGUUGGAUGCAUAUUUUGUGAGUUUAUGAGCAAAACAAUUAACCGUUGUGCUGAUGUCUAGAAAUAUGCAAGCAUUAAAUUGAUCUUUUGAAGUUACUCUUGUUUGGAUAGGUUUGGUUUAGGCUAUUGGAGCACAGUAUGUAUUGCUUUCAUUAUAUAUAUUCAUUGAAGAACUUGCAUGUGUCAAUGUUGAUUUGGUGUCAGGAAAACUUUGUCCGGGUUAUAUAGGACUGUCUAUUAUCUUAGCCCGAGUUGGCAGCUUGGCUUAGCACAUGCAAUUGUCGGAGUCUAUGAUCAGAGUACGCCAUGUAUUCCAUGUCUCUAUGUUGAGAAAGUAUUUGCGGAAUCCAUAUCAAUAAUCGAGCUAGAGUCAAUUCCCAUGUAGCAAGACCUGACUCUAGAGUGUCGUCUGCUGCGUAUCCUAGAAUCCUUGAAGCUCGAGGAGCUGAUGCGGCAGAAGUACCCCGAACUUUUCGUUAUGGGGUGAGUUUUUGUUGUCGCUGAUCUUUCCUUGUCGUUCCGAUAGAAGCGUCGGAAUUCGAGGUCGAAUUCUUUUUAAGGGGGGUAGAGUGUGAUACCCGGUUUGCAAAGAAGAGAAGUUGAAGGUUAUUCUUUUUGUUUGUUUUUUCUCUUAUUCGGGUGUCGCGCUUUGGGGAUUUAGAAUUUGUGGAAAUCAUUCACCAGUAUAGCAGUAGAGUGGUUGGUCGGGAGCUGUCGUGCAAGCGAGUUGGGCCGCGAAUCGCAAUCCGGCCCACUAACCCUCCCCCUAACCCUAGCCGCCCCCCUUUUUCCCCCUUGGGUUGUUGCAGCCGCCCCUUCCCCUCCCCUUUCUCUUGGACGCCCCCCCUCUCCCAUCUUCUUCCUCCUCAAACCUUUGCAGCCCUCACCACCCAAAACCCUAGCCGCCCCCCCCCCCCCCCCAUUUCUCCCCCUCCUCCAAGGUGCAGCCCUCCCGUGUGGUUCUCCGUCGUGUGGCUGCGAUCUCAAUUGGAGUUUGGAGGGAGGAAGAAGGAAGGAGGAAGGGAAGAACCUAAGGUGAAUUUGUGAUUAACUUUUGUUGUUUUUGUGCUGCAAUCAAUUGGAUUAUGUGUUUAUCUUUGCGAAUCGGUAGAGGUGCUGUCCAGGAAUUUUGUGAGUGGGUGAACAGCAGUAGUUCUAGGGAUUUCUGGGAAUUUUCGUGGGGUAAUUAGUGGGAAUCAGUGGGAUAAUCAUGUAGAGCUUUGUCAUACCUUUCCAACGAGUACUUAUGCGCUCGAUUCGGAGUUAUAAUUUAGGAGAUAUCGUUGUUUGAAUCCGGGUAUAUUGCUGUCCAAAAAAACAGAUUUUUCAGGUGGGUGAACAGCAGUAGUAUUAGCAGUUUCUGGGAAUUUUUCGUGGGUAAUUAGUAUUAACCAGUAUUAUAAUCAUGUAGGGCUUUGUCUUAUCUUUCCAAUGAGUACUUAUGUGCUUGAUUUGGAAUUAUAUUUUAAAAGAUAUCGCUGUUUGAAUCCAGGUAUGUUGCUGUAAAAAAAACAGAUUUUUCAGGUGGGUGAACAGCAGUAGUAUUAGCAAUUUCUGGGCAUUUUUCGUGGUUAAUUAGUGCUAACCAGUAAGAUAAUCAUGUAUGGCUUUGUCUUAUCUUUCCAAUGAGUACUUAUGCGCUUGAAUUGGAAUUAUAUUUUAAAAGUUAUCGCUGUUUGAAUCCGGGUAUGUCGCUGUCCAAAAGAGAAAAAAACAGAUUACAGGGUUCAUCUUGUGAACUGUUUUGGGCUAAUUAGAUGUUGGAGUUUAAUUAUAAAUUGUAUACAAAACUUGUGGGGAAUUUUAUGUAGAUGCCUCUGGAGUUUUUGUUUGUUACCAAUGCUGUCAUAAUUUUGAAGUUAUGAAAUUAUUAAGCAGCGCCGCUGCAGUUUGGUGGGUGUGGGGAGAGAUGUAACCCGCGGCGGGGUUUGAGUUUGUGCGUAGGUGCGGCGUCGUUUAUGAGCCUGGUUAUGUGAAAUUGGUGCACUAAGUUGUGUGUCAAAAACAGGUGGUGGACUUCCGGAUCGUACUUAGGGAUUUGCCCAAACUUCCGGUAAAGGCAAGUAAAUACAGUGGUGGUUGCUACCGUUUGGUUUGCAUCCUAUUCCCUGUCAUUGAGUAUGCAUAAGUUUUAAAUAUGUUAAUCAUUGAAUUCUAUGAUGAAGUUUAUUUGUUCGAAAGUAUUAAUUCUCAAUUGUCUAAUAUUGUGGAUGAUCAUGAUUUGGUAAUGAUAUAUGUGGUUGAUUCCUAUCAUGGAUGGAGUUGAAGUAUUUUUAUUUGAAUCACGUUAUAUGAAGUGUUGUAGGCAUGUCAUGCACAUUGCAUCAUCCAUCUUGCAUUCUGAAGUUAUGUCGUGAUCUUAUGGUCCGACUGUACCGGUACAUUUUUAGCAUCGUACGUUGCCCGAGGAGGGGUACGAUGCGGCUUCAUAUCCUUAGAGGUAUGAAGGCAGAAGUCAUCCUUGCAUUUGCAGACAUUUGCACUCAUGAGGUAUAUAUAUGAAGAGUGACAUUACUAUGUUACUAUUGUGGUUUCUACCUGCGAGGUGUGGUAGCUAGGAGUGUUGUACGUUGUAUACGUGCUGCACCUUUGUAAUAAGAAGGUUGUGAAAUCAAGUGGUGGUAAAACAAUAUUCUUAUGUGGUUAAACAGUUUGAUAUUAUUUUACUUGCUGAGAUGUGUCAUCUCACUCUUGCAUUACUCAAUGCAGGUACUUGAUAUAUGUUGGGAAUGAGGGGAGUAGCAGCACGUCCACUUUCACUCUCAUAAUAGCGCUGCCCAGGCGUAGCCAUGAUUUAAUUAGAAACUUGUUGUCAAAAGAAGUUAUUUUUUUUUGCUAGUCGUGCGCACUGGUUAAUUCAGUUCAUGUCGUAUGUUUAACUUCCCUUUGCUAGCCGAUUAAUAAUACUUGGUAUGUUUUUGUCAUGAUAUAUGUUUAUACAUUGUUGUCCCCCCCCCUCAUUUAUGCAAUUUUGCAAAGGAGAUGCUGCCAAAAUUUUAUAUAGAUGUCAGAAGUGUAGUUCAG